rnacentral:misc_RNA from 1 species
AAUUCUUUCUAAAUUUAAUAUAAUAUUAGAGCUCGAAUUGAGUUGUCACUUUCAGUUGCCUAUAAAAUUAUAUAAUUUAGCUCAUAUUUGAUAAAAUAUUGAUUGUCAAGUGACAAUUAUAUUACCUUUGAGGGGAGGAGUAUUAGAAAUUUCACAUUGAAAUAAUUGCCUAAUACUCACUCCAAAUUUAACAAGUAUGCACCAUUCACGAUGCAACCACCACACCCAAUCCAACAGGAAUUGGAAGCCAACAAUCUUGGUCCAAGAUCAUUGCCCUCACACCACCUCAAGAGCCAUCUCACUGAACCCAUAGACAUCGGCCUUGCGGGUGGCUUUGCCAAUAUUAAAGCAUCCAAGGACAAUGUAGCCCAUUAUUCCAG